GUUUUAAUAGUUUAAUGAAAACAUUGGUCUUGUAAACCAAAAAUAAGAAACUAUCUUUUAAAACU